UCGCCGCGGUGGGGCAGUUUCUAUAAAAGGUUGAACCUCAGCCUUUCCCGUUCUUUUCGGGAUAAACUUCGGGGCUGAAAAGAAUCAGCUCUGUGUGCUACGCUUGGAGAGGAACUGAGCACCGAGUGAAGCUGCGAAGCUGCGGGGGUCGCCCAAACCCGUAGGCAGGCGUAGCCCCGGGCCAGCCGCGGCCUGAGCGCCAUCGUGGUCCUCGGCAUUGUAGCAUGUUCCUUUCCCGCUCCCCCACCUCCCCCCCAGUUCCGGCAGGGAAGUCCGAACCUCCGGACCUACGGCUCCCUACAGUGCCAUCGAUGGCCUGGUUGGAGACCUUGAAUGUAAAUCAACAUCAGUCAGUUCAGGGACCUGGUGGUAAGUAAGGCUGGAGUAAACCUGUGAGAAUCAAAUGAUCUUUUCAUUCAAAGAUGUAACCUAGACAGGCGUAUGCCAUUUUGUGGCUUAACCUAACAGUCCGUAUCUACCCGAAGUGCUUAGCAAUAAAGCAAAAGUGGUAUGAGUUAA